AUAUGUGGAUGAUGAGAAAAUUAAAAUUAACAGUUAUCCCUGUCUUAGUCACCGGUGCUGAUAAUGUUAAAUCUGACACUUCA